UUUCCUUCACAAAUUGUCCCCGAAACGCCGGAGGAAGUGCCAGUUAGACUAGAGAACACAUUUGCUGGGUACAAGAAAACAAGGAGGAGACUAUUAGAAUCUCCAUCAAAAUUGAGUGUCAAAAAACCUAAAAUUGGGUGAUAUCAAUGGUCAUCUCUCCAGUUUCAGGUUCGCUUAAGUACCAUACCUCGUUAUCUUCACAGUCAGCAUCAUCCUCGUCAACCAUAGCAGAAAAUUCAAGCUCUUCAAGCUCUUCAGCAGAAAUUUCAAUAAAAGGAUCCCAUGUAGCAGCAGCAGCAGCAACAACAGUUAACUCUCUCUCUCCCACGGGAUGUGCAUACUCCAUGAAGCUUCUUUCAGCAUCUUGGCUUUCCAAAUUCAAGUCGAACAAGUGCAUGUGUGUGAUGUGAGUGAAAUUAUGAAGUGUAGUAGCAGUGUUUUUUUGUAGUUGUAACUGGUGGGAGUUAUUUUGGUGGUGUUGUGUUUUUAUAAGAGUUUAGGGCAAAAAAGUUCUCCAAAAUUUAAAUUGUAAAGUUUUCCCCCUUUUUCAAAUUUUCAUUAAAUGUUUGGAGGGAAAACCAAUUCUGUUUUCAUUUUCCCUCCUUACAUUGUACUGUAAUCUGUAAUUAAGAGGAGAAAGUCCCCACUUGCUUUUUGGAUUACCCCAUUUCUUUUGACAUUAAUUAAAGUACAUCACAUGGGUUGUUGUA